AAAGGGAAAACGCCGAUUUGAUCAUGUUUGGAAAUUACCCAUUAGCACACCAGCCGCUGCUGGUGAAUUUUCCUGUCGGCAAAAACCGCAUGUGAUCGCGGCGCGCCGGUUGGAUUUGUGAAAAGUCAGAAUCAAGGCACUGAGAUGAGGCAUGCACUGACACAAUGCCUCAACGCAUCAAGGCGGAGCGGCGAGCAACAGGCAAACCAACUAAAAGCAAGGCAACACAUCGCAGUAGAUCUUGUAGAGUUUCACUAGAGUCUACGAAGAGUAACUCAGUUCAGUUGAGCAUUGGACGGCGGAGCAAGCGCACGGAUUACUUCGGAUCGAAUUGGAUUGCCAAGGUACGGAUCGGUUCGUUAGUGGCGAAGCAAAGAAAAACUAAAAAGGUU